GAUGAACGCUGGCGGCAUGCCUAAUACAUGCAAGUCGAACGAAGUCUUUAGGAAGCUUGCUUCCAAAGAGACUUAGUGGCGAACGGGUGAGUAACACGUAGGUAACCUGCCCAUGUGCCCGGGAUAACUGCUGGAAACGGUAGCUAAAACCGGAUAGGUAUGAGGGAGGCAUCUUCCUCAUAUUAAAGCACCUUCGGGUGUGAACAUGGAUGGACCUGCGGCGCAUUAGCUGGUUGGUGAGGUAACGGCCCACCAAGGCGAUGAUGCGUAGCCGACCUGAGAGGGUGAACGGCCACAUUGGGACUGAGACACGGCCCAAACUCCUACGGGAGGCAGCAGUAGGGAAUUUUCGUCAAUGGGGGGAACCCUGAACGAGCAAUGCCGCGUGUGUGAAGAAGGUCUUCGGAUCGUAAAGCACUGUUGUAAGUGAAGAAUGCCAUAUAGAGGAAAUGCUAUGUGGGUGACGGUAGCUUACCAGAAAGCCACGGCUAACUACGUGCCA
rnacentral:rRNA from 1 species